UACGUAGGGGGCAAGCGUUGUCCGGAAUCAUUGGGCGUAAAGCGCGUGUAGGCGGCUGAGUAAGUCUGCUCUGAAAGCCCGAGGCUCAACCCCGGGAGGCGGGUGGAUACUGCUCAGCUCGAGUCCGGAAGAGGAGUGUGGAAUUCCUGGUGUAGCGGUGAAAUGCGCAGAUAUCAGGAGGAACACCAAUGGCGAAGGCAGCACUCUGGGACGGUACUGACGCUGAGACGCGAAAGCGUGGGGAGCAAACAGG
rnacentral:rRNA from 1 species